rnacentral:rRNA from 1 species
UGGGGAAUAUUGCACAAUGGGCGCAAGCCUGAUGCAGCCAUGCCGCGUGUAUGAAGAAGGCCUUCGGGUUGUAAAGUACUUUCAGCGGGGAGGAAGGUGUUGUGGUUAAUAACCACAGCAAUUGACGUUACCCGCAGAAGAAGCACCGGCUAACUCCGUGCCAGCAGCCGCGGUAAUACGGAGGGUGCAAGCGUUAAUCGGAAUUACUGGGCGUAAAGCGCACGCAGGCGGACUGUCAAGUCGGAUGUGAAAUCCCCGGGCUCAACCUGGGAACUGCAUCCGAAACUGGCAGGCUUGAGUCUUGUAGAGGGGGGUAGAAUUCCAGGUGUAGCGGUGAAAUGCGUAGAGAUCUGGAGGAAUACCGGUGGCGAAGGCGGCCCCCUGGACAAAGACUGACGCUCAGGUGCGAAAGCGUGGGGAGCAAACA